rnacentral:rRNA from 1 species
UGGGGAAUUUUGGACAAUGGGCGAAAGCCUGAUCCAGCAAUGCCGCGUGUGUGAAGAAGGCCUUCGGGUUGUAAAGCACUUUUGUCCGGAAAGAAAUCCUUGGCUCUAAUACAGUCGGGGGAUGACGGUACCGGAAGAAUAAGCACCGGCUAACUACGUGCCAGCAGCCGCGGUAAUACGUAGGGUGCAAGCGUUAAUCGGAAUUACUGGGCGUAAAGCGUGCGCGGGCGGUUUGCUAAGACCGAUGUGAAAUCCCCGGGCUCAACCUGGGAACUGCAUUGGUGACUGGCAGGCUAGAGUAUGGCAGAGGGGGGUAGAAUUCCACGUGUAGCAGUGAAAUGCGUAGAGAUGUGGAGGAAUACCGAUGGCGAAGGCAGCCCCCUGGGCCAAUACUGACGCUCAUGCACGAAAGCGUGGGGAGCAAACAGGAUUAGAUACCCUGGUAGUCCACGCCCUAAACGAUGUCAACUAGUUGUUGGGGGAUUCAUUUCCUUAGUAACGUAGCUAACGCGUGAAGUUGACCGCCUGGGGAGUACGGUCGCAAGAUUAAAACUCAAAUGAAUUGACGGGGUCAUAGCUGUUUCCU